GAUGAACGCUAGCGGCAGGCCUAACACAUGCAAGUCGAGGGGUAGAACACUUCGGUGUUUGAGACCGGCGCACGGGUGCGUAACGCGUAUGCAAUCUACCUUGUACAGGGGAAUAGCCCAGAGAAAUUUGGAUUAAUGCCCCAUAGUAUAUAACCUUCGCAUGUUGGUUAUAUUAAAGUUCCAACGGUACAAGAUGAGCAUGCGUCCCAUUAGUUAGUUGGUAAGGUAACGGCUUACCAAGACGAUGAUGGGUAGGGGUCCUGAGAGGGAGAUCCCCCACACUGGUACUGAGACACGGACCAGACUCCUACGGGAGGCAGCAGUGAGGAAUAUUGGUCAAUGGGCGCAAGCCUGAACCAGCCAUGCCGCGUGCAGGAAGACGGUCCUAUGGAUUGUAAACUGCUUUUAUACAGGAAGAAACCCUCCCACGUGUGGGAGAUUGACGGUACUGUAGGAAUAAGGAUCGGCUAACUCCGUGCCAGCCGCCGCCGUAACAC
rnacentral:rRNA from 1 species